GAAAAGAGACUUGGGGAGCCCUCUAGGCAAGUCUUUUUGGCUGGAAUCCUGGAGGCUUCCUGCCUGAGCCUGGAUCUGAGGAAGCUUAAGCAGGCCAAAGUGUUUAUGCCAUGGAAUGAGGAAGGGUUGGGGACAUCUGAAACCGGGGAGUUAUUCAAGCCAGGGGCACAAAUUGACAGUGAUCAAGAGGAGACUUGAAGGCCAGAUGGGAAUUACCACCUACAGGAGAUACUGCAGUGAGGAGUAUGACAUUGUGACAGAGGACGACUAUAUCCUUACUGUACAAAGCGCUCCCCAUAGAAAAGUGAAGAAUGGGACAAGAGGCAGACAACCAGAAACUGGCUUCCUGGAGUUCGAGCAAGGCAUCAUAGAGAAUCUGACUCCCAUGGAGGAGACCUAAUGAGAUCAAUGCAGGAACAUCUUAUGUGGCAAAAAGGAGGACCUGGAGAACUAUUCACCAGUCAACCUGACUUCAGGAACUGCAGCAGAUUAUGAAGAAGUCUAUUUGUAAGCAUCUGGAGGAGGAAAGGCUGAUCAUGAGCAGCCAGCAGAUACUUGAGUGCUUGAAGCUGGGGCUGCAUGAACUUAA